rnacentral:lncRNA from 1 species
CCGCCCCAAACCCCCCUACGACCCCAACCAGUAGCGCUCCAGCAAGCAGCGUCCCCGUGACCGCCCCGGAGCCACCAGCGCUCUCCGCCUCUUCCUCCUCCUCCUCAUCGGCGGCGGGGCGGCGGUCCUUGGGGUUGCCGCUCCCGCCGCCGCCGAGGCGGAAGGGGACGUUGGGCGAGGCCUUCCGUAGCGUGGCCUUGUUGGGCUCCCGCAGCGAGGAGAGCGGCGGCUGGAAGGCCCGCCCCCGGUGCAGCAGCCGCCGCCGCCACGGCGAGGCCCCGAGCGCC